rnacentral:rRNA from 1 species
CUACGUGCCAGCAGCCGCGGUAAUACGGAGGGUGCGAGCGUUAAUCGGAAUAACUGGGCGUAAAGGGCACGCAGGCGGUGACUUAAGUGAGGUGUGAAAGCCCCGGGCUUAACCUGGGAAUUGCAUUUCAUACUGGGUCGCUAGAGUACUUUAGGGAGGGGUAGAAUUCCACGUGUAGCGGUGAAAUGCGUAGAGAUGUGGAGGAAUACCGAAGGCGAAGGCAGCCCCUUGGGAAUGUACUGACGCUCAUGUGCGAAAGCGUGGGGAGCAAACAGGAUUAGAUACCCUGGUAGUCCACGCUGUAAACGAUGUCGAUUUGGGGGUUGAACUUUAGGUUUGGCGCCCGUAGCUAACGUGAUAAAUCGACCGCCUGGGGAGUACGGCCGCAAGGUUAAAACUCAAAGGAAUUGACGGGGACCCGCACAAGCGGUGGAGUAUGUGGUUUAAUUCGAAGCAACGCGAAGAACCUUACCUACUCUUGACAUCCAGA